rnacentral:tRNA from 1 species
GGAAAGAUGGCUGAGCGGCCGAAGGCACGUCCCUGCUAAGGACGCGUACCCUCACGGGUACCGUGGGUUCAAAUCCCACUCUUUCCG